rnacentral:lncRNA from 1 species
UUAAGCAAAAUCAUUAUGUUACGUUGUAAUUUUUAUUGAUAUAUAAUUUAGGAAAAAAUAUAUUUCCAGGAUUGAGUUUCAUAUGCUCAUUUUUUAUGUGCCAUAUAAAUAUAUGUAUAUAUAUAUAUAUAUAUAUGCAUAUAUAUUUAUAUAUUUAUACGUAUAAAUUUAUGCGUUAAUAUUCAACAUGUAAUAAAAAAAACAAUUUAAACCAAAAAAAAAAAUGACAAAUUACAAGGAUUUCCAUUUGAUACUUGGCAAGAUUUUUAGCAUUUUUCAUAAUUCUUAUACACUGCAAUUUUGAUAAUUUUUUCCCAUUUGUAUGAAUAUGAACAAAGUGAAAAAAUACCUAGAUUUUUUUUUUUUUUUGUGCAUAUAUAUAUACAUACACGAAUUUAACAUUUUGGGGAAAAAAUAUAAGUUAAAAACAUAAUAAUUUGAGUUCUUUUAUUACUUAAUUUUUUUUUUAAACUAGAAGAACGACCAAUAAAACAUUUAUAUAUACAUAUAAAAAUAAUUUUUUAUGUUUCCCUGUUUUAAUAAAGUAAUUAUAUGAUACACUAUAAAUAAUUAUAACAAAUAGUGACACUGUUAGUAAUAAUAUUAUAACGAACAUAUACUUAUUUGUUGAUCCAAUUAUGCAGUUCUACAUAUAUUUAUAUAUAUAUACAUGCGUAUAAAUAAAAGUAUCAAUAAAAGUAUAUAAUUUAUGUAUUAUAUACAUGUAUAAAUAUUAGCAUGUAUGUGUCGAAUUUUAAAAUAAAAACAUACAUUUUGAUGAAUCGUUUAUAAAAUGGAAACUAACAGUAACAUUGAAUUACCCCAAUUAAAUGAGCAAACUAAUUUGAAAUCAGCAUAUGAGCAAAUUGAAAAAGAUAGAGUUCAAUUGGUGUCUAAGAUAGAGGAGUUGUAUCAAGAUGUAGUAGAACACAAAUUAGUCUUGGAAGCUUUGGAAAACGUUCCAGCUGAUAGGCGAUGUUAUAGAAUGGUUGGUGAAAUAUUAGUUGAGAGAACAGUUGGGGAAAUAAAGCCGGCUUUGAUAGAUCAUAAAAAUAAAGUAUAACUAUAUAUAUAUAUAUAUAUAUAAUAAACAAUUUACUCAUAUAUGUUACA